CAAUGCCCAAAGUUUGGCCCAUUAUAUGACCUGUAGGCUAAACGUCAGAACAAAACCAGCGUAUUCCAAAGUAUUCCAAGGGAAAGACUGUGUUCUGCCAGAAGCACUUGACAGGAUGCAAACUCCAAGUUCGGCCUUGCUACAUAAAGAUCUUCCUGCAGAGGUGCUGAACGUCAGGGUGGGCUGGAGCCAAGUCCCAUGGACCCGGACAGGUCACCGGUCCAUCACGGGGCAGGGAUCAUCCAAAACAUAAUUAAUAGGGAGACUGGACUGCAAGACGUCAUGGCCAACAAGUUCUCACAUUUCAUAUUCAAUAUGAGUCAUAAAAGAACCUAAAGUUGAUGGUUGGUAGAACAGGAGAUCUUGACCACUGUCUUUUUUCUGCCCAAGCAUCCACCCUGACUUCAACCCUGAGAUGUUUUGCGUUAAGAUCACCAUAUUUGUCAGCUUUCUACAUUGAGCUUAUUCAUCACUGUGGUAUCCCUGUUUAACCAGAGGACUUCUCUAUUGUCUGAAAUGGGACACCUUUGGCUGUCAUUUCACUUUCACUUACGUGUAUGUUGGAGAGAUUUGUUGGGAAAAACUUUGGCUAUCACGGUACAAGUGGUACUAGUGGUUUUUUUCCACCAACAAAGUUAAAAAGAUUUCUUUUAAAAUGCUUCACAAGCUUUACCCAAAUAACCAUCACCUGCAAAAACUGAAAAAGACGUUGAAUUACGUUUUGUAGAGAGUUAAACGCUGGAACAUUUACUUUGGAGCUGACCAAUGUUAUUUUAUUUUUUUACUUUCUGGCGCUGUAUUCCAAUAUUAAGGAAAAUAUUCUUUCCAUAUCUAAGUGUACAUGUUUGGUUAUUUUUUCUUUUUGAAAACCCCUUGACCUCCCUGGCUCAGUUGUGUUUGUAGACUCAAUAGAUGGACAGAAGUUGUUGUUUACCUGCUGUCUAUCCUGGUUUAUGAAUAAAGAUUGUUUAAAAAAUAAA